rnacentral:rRNA from 1 species
UACGUAGGUGACAAGCGUUGUCCGGAUUUACUGGGCGUAAAGAGCGCGCAGGCGGUCGAUCAAGUCGAGUGUGAAAGCCCCCGGCUCAACUGGGGAGGGUCAUUCGAUACUGAUCGACUCGAAGGCAGGAGAGGGUAGUGGAAUUCCCGGUGUAGUGGUGAAAUACAUAGAUAUUGGGAAGAACACCGGUGGCGAAGGCGGCGACCUGGUCCGAUACUGACGCUGAGGCGCGAAAGCGUGGGGAGCAAACAGG